rnacentral:rRNA from 1 species
UACGUAGGGGGCAAGCGUUGUCCGGAAUCAUUGGGCGUAAAGAGCGUGUAGGCGGCCAGAUAAGUCCGCUGUGAAAUCUCGAGGCUCAACUUCGAGCUGUCGGUGGAAACUAUCUGGCUAGAGUCCGGAAGAGGAGAAUGGAAUUCCUGGUGUAGCGGUGAAAUGCGCAGAUAUCAGGAGGAACACCGGUGGCGAAGGCGGGUCUCUGGGCCGUAACUGACGCUGAGGAGCGAAAGCAUGGGGAGCGAACAGG